UACGUAUGGUGCAAGCGUUAUCCGGAUUUACUGGGUGUAAAGGGAGCGCAGGCGGCACGGCAAGCCUGAUGUGAAAGCCCGCGGCCCAACCGCGGGACUGCAUUGGGAACUACCGGGCUGGAGUGCCGGAGAGGUAGGCGGAAUUCCUAGUGUAGCGGUGAAAUGCGUAGAUAUUAGGAGGAACACCAGUGGCGAAGGCGGCCUACUGGACGGUGACUGACGCUGAGGCUCGAAAGCGUGGGGAGCAUACAGG
rnacentral:rRNA from 1 species